rnacentral:misc_RNA from 1 species
AGUUUGACAUUUGAAUCCAUAGGACUAUUUACACAUUUGCAAUCUAACAUUCUUGUCUCUUCUAUCCAGAGCAUCUCUUUUGAGAAAUAGCAAUGGCUAUUUUGGAUUGAGCUACCUCAAUCCUCAAGAAAUACUUCAAUCUCCCUAGAUCUUUAGUUUAAAAGUGGCUAAAAAAAUGUUGUUUGAGCUGGGAUAUCCCAUCAAUGACAUUACCAUACACUAAAAGAAUAAUAUUUUUACCAUGCUCAUAGUUCAAUCUCCCUAGAUCUUUAGUUUAAAAGUGGCUAAAAAAAUGUUGUUUGAGCUGGGAUAUCCCAUCAAUGACAUUACCAUACACUAAAAGAAUAAUAUUUUUACCAUGCUCAUAG